rnacentral:rRNA from 1 species
GACGAACGCUGGCGGCGUGCUUAGCACAUGCAAGUCGAACGGAAAGGCCCUGCUUUUGUGGGGUGCUCGAGUGGCGAACGGGUGAGUAACACGUGAGUAACCUGCCCUUGACUUUGGGAUAACUUCAGGAAACUGGGGCUAAUACCGGAUAGGAGCUCCUGCUGCAUGGUGGGGGUUGGAAAGUUUCGGCGGUUGGGGAUGGACUCGCGGCUUAUCAGCUUGUUGGUGGGGUAGUGGCUUACCAAGGCUUUGACGGGUAGCCGGCCUGAGAGGGUGACCGGCCAAAUUGGGACUGAGAGACGGCCCAGACUCCUACGGGAGGCAGCAGUGGGGAAUAUUGCACAAUGGGCGGAAGCCUGAUGAAGCAACGCCGCGUGCGGGGUGACGGCCUUCGGGUUGUAAACCGCUUUCGCCUGUGACGAAGCGUGAGUGACGGUAAUGGGUAAAGAAGCACCGGCUAACUACGUG